AGUAACGCGUGGAUAACCUGCCUUACACUGGGGGAUAACACUUAGAAAUAGGUGCUAAUACCGCAUAAGCGCACAGAGCCGCAUGGCUCAGUGUGAAAAACUUCGGUGGUGUAAGAUGGAUCCGCGUCUGAUUAGCUGGUUGGCGGGGUAGAAGCCCACCAAGGCGACGAUCAGUAGCCGGCCUGAGAGGGUGAACGGCCACAUUGGGACUGAGACACGGCCCAAACUCCUACGGGAGGCAGCAG
rnacentral:rRNA from 1 species